rnacentral:lncRNA from 1 species
GUAAUCAGACACUGCUUGGUUUCAAAAGCAGAUGCAGAUGAGACUAGCAAUAUAAAUAUGCAAAUCACAAUGGUCCCUUGUCAGCACCACUGUUCCUACCUCUAAUGGCCCUCGUAGAAAGUCUGUUUGCUCAGCUCCUACUUCCAGUGCUACAUCGACAGAAGCAAAGGGGCGGCUGGCCAUCUGCUGUCGCUCCCGCAUAAGUUGCUCUCUCCGUCG